rnacentral:rRNA from 1 species
GAUGAACGCUGGCGGCGUGCCUAAUACAUGCAAGUCGAGCGAACAGACGAGGAGCUUGCUCCUCUGACGUUAGCGGCGGACGGGUGAGUAACACGUGGAUAACCUACCUAUAAGACUGGGAUAACUUCGGGAAACCGGAGCUAAUACCGGAUAAUAUAUUGAACCGCAUGGUUCUAUAGUGAAAGACGGUUUUGCUGUCACUUAUAGAUGGAUCCGCGCCGCAUUAGCUAGUUGGUAAGGUAACGGCUUACCAAGGCAACGAUGCGUAGCCGACCUGAGAGGGUGAUCGGCCACACUGGAACUGAGACACGGUCCAGACUCCUACGGGAGGCAGCAGUAGGGAAUCUUCCGCAAUGGGCGAAAGCUUGACGGAGCAACGCCGCGUGAGUGAUGAAGGUCUUCGGAUCGUAAAACUCUGUUAUUAGGGAAGAACAAAAGUGUAAGUAACUAUGCACGUCUUGACGGUACCUAAUCAGAAAGCCACGGCUAACUACGUG